rnacentral:rRNA from 1 species
GGUCAUCACUUCUGGAAUGGGUAAUGACUUAAACCUAUAUGGCCCCUGGAUUGGACUGCGGCCGAUCAGGCUGUUGGUGAGGUAAUGGCCCACCAAACCUGUAACCGGUACGGGCUCUGAGAGGAGGAGCCCGGAGAUGGGCACUGAGACAAGGGCCCAGGCCCUAUGGGGCGCAGCAGGCGCGAAACCUCUGCAAUAGGCGAAAGCUUGACAGGGUUACUCUGAGUGAUUUCCGUUAAGGAGAUCUUUUGGCACCUCUAAAAAUGGUGCAGAAUAAGGGGUGGGCAAGUCUGGUGUCAGCCGCCGCGGUAAUACCAGCACCCCGAGUGGUCGGGACGUUUAUUGGGCCUAAAGCAUCCGUAGCCGGUUCUACAAGUCUUCCGUUAAAUCCACCUGCUUAACAGAUGGGCUGCGGAAGAUACUAUAGAGCUAGGAGGCGGGAGAGGCAAGCGGUACUCGAUGGGUAGGGGUAAAAUCCGUUGAUCCAUUGAAGACCACCAGUGGCGAAGGCGGCUUGCCAGAACACGUCCGACGGUGAGGGAUGAAAGCUGGGGGAGCAAACCGGAUUAGAUACCCGGGUAGUCCCAGCUGUAAACUAUGCAAACUCAGUGAUGCAUUGGCUUGUGGCCAAUGCAGUGCU